rnacentral:misc_RNA from 1 species
GUGAAUCAUCAAAUUUUUGAACGCAAAUUGCACUCUCUGGCAUUCCGGAGAGUAUGCCUGUUUGAGGGUCAGUUUAAAUAAAAAUCGAGGUGUUGCUGUUUGGUGACCCAUCCGGAUUGGGUGAUCUGUAACCUUUUAACAGGUUUAAGUGACCUAAAAUUGAUACAUUGUGCAUCUCAGACUGACCUAAGAAUGGUUUUCUAUUGGUCCGGAAUUGCCAACUUUUAUUAG